rnacentral:rRNA from 1 species
GAACUCGCUGUGAAGAUGCAGUGUACCCGCGGCAAGACGGAAAGACCCCGUGAACCUUUACUAUAGCUUGACACUGAACAUUGAGCCUUGAUGUGUAGGAUAGGUGGGAGGCUUUGAAGUGUGGACGCCAGUCUGCAUGGAGCCGACCUUGAAAUACCACCCUUUAAUGUUUGAUGUUCUAACGUGGACCCGUAAUCCGGGUUGCGGACAGUGUCUGGUGGGUAGUUUGACUGGGGCGGUCUCCUCCUAAAGAGUAACGGAGGAGCACGAAGGUUGGCUAAUCCUGGUCGGACAUCAGGAGGUUAGUGCAAUGGCAUAAGCCAGCUUGACUGCGAGCGUGACGGCGCGAGCAGGUGCGAAAGCAGGUCAUAGUGAUCCGGUGGUUCUGAAUGGAAGGGCCAUCGCUCAACGGAUAAAAGGUACUCCGGGGAUAACAGGCUGAUACCGCCCAAGAGUUCAUAUCGACGGCGGUGUUUGGCACCUCGAUGUCGGCUCAUCACAUCCUGGGGCUGAAGUAGGUCCCAAGGGUAUGGCUGUUCGCCAUUUAAAGUGGUACGCGAGCUGGGUUUAGAACGUCGUGAGACAGUUCGGUCCCUAUCUGCCGUGGGCGCUGGAGAACUGAGGGGGGCUGCUCCUAGUACGAGAGGACCGGAGUGGACGCAUCACUGGUGUUCGGGUUGUCAUGCCAAUGGCACUGCCCGGUAGCUAAAUGCGGAAGAGAUAAGUGCUGAAAGCAUCUAAGCACGAAACUUGCC